GGCGAACGCUGGCGGCGUGCCUAACACAUGCAAGUCGUGCGGGAACGGGCUUCGGCCCUAGUACCGCGGCAGACGGGUGAGUAACACGUGAGUAACCUGUCCUCGGGUCUGGGAUAACCACCCGAAAGGGUGGCUAAUACCGGAUAAAGUCACCGGGCGCAAGCUCGGUGAUGAAAGGGGGCCUCUGCAUAGCAAGCUCCUGCCUGAGGAGGGGCUCGCGGCCCAUCAGCUAGUUGGUGGGGUAACGGCCCACCAAGGCGAUGACGGGUAGCCGGCCUGAGAGGGUGGUCGGCCACACGGGCACUGAGACACGGGCCCGACUCCUACGGGAGGCAGCAGUGGGGAAUCUUGGGCAAUGGGCGAAAGCCUGACCCAGCGACGCCGCGUGGGGGAAGAAGGCCUUCGGGUCGUAAACCCCUGUUCUGGGGGAAGAACCCUGACUGGGUUAAGAGCCUAGUCAGGCUGACGGUACCCCAGGAGAAAGCCACGGCUAACUGCGUGCCAGCAGCCGCGGUAAUACGCAGGUGGCGAGCGUUGCCCGGAAUUACUGGGCGUAAAGGGUGCGUAGGCGGCCGGACAAGUCGUAGGUUAAAGCCCGGGGCUCAACCCCGGAAAGGCCUACGAUACUGUCUGGCUUGAGGGCUGGAGAGGCUGGCGGAAUU
rnacentral:rRNA from 1 species